UCCGUAGGCGGGCGAUUAAGUCAGAGGUGAAAUCUCACAGCUCAACUGUGGAACUGCCUUUGAUACUGGUUGUCUUGAGUUACAGUGAAGUAGAUAGAAUAUGUAGUGUAGCGGUGAAAUGCAUAGAUAUUACAUAGAAUACCGAUUGCGAAGGCAGUCUACUAACUGUUAACUGACGCUAAGGGACGAAAGCGUGGGGAGCGAACAGGAUUAGUUACCCUGGUAGUCC
rnacentral:rRNA from 1 species